AGACCGUAUCACCAGGAUCUGCCGGACACCUGACAAUUUCCUCUCCCUCCUGUCGGUGCCAAUUCCGCGCAUCUCCCUGGUGACUAUCGUCCCCGAUUCUCUCAUCCCCACCCGGGGAAUGGGUAGCUUGUGACUUUUCUUUUAAUUUCCGGCCAGUGGGGCUCUUUGGGGAUUGGAUUUUUUUGUGUGUGCCCGAGCCCAACCAUUCCUGUCCCGGCUCCGGUAUCGUCGCAAGAGACUGUGAGCCCGUUGUCAGGUCGCUGUAGGUGAAAGACUACAUGUUCACUUUUAGUGAAACGGAGCAUGUUCCCAAACUCCUCCAACUUGGGUCGUCCACCCUUCCCUUUGAAGAACCAACAGCACAAUAACUUCUUCGGCAAGCUUCCUUUGCACCUGUCCCCAACUCUCCCCCCUCACCAGCAGAUUCUGGGUGCUCAGGCCAAUUUUCAGAAUGCCGACCUGUCCAGAGCUCCCUUGAGCGGGAACCUUUCACCGAUCCCUCCCGGGUCGUCACAGCCUCUCUUAGCCUUUGGAAAUGGCAGUCCGAUACGGUCAUCAGUUUCACCAACAUUCCGCGGAAGGAAGCGACUGAGCAGCGAACAGAACGUUCCGUACGACGUGAAGCGGCAGCGGUUCCAUUCCCCUCACCACGAGUCAACCGCAGUUCACCCGACAGUGCCUUUAAGAGACGAACGCAGAUAUUCCAUCCCGGGAGCCAUCACGCCCUCGUUGUUUCCUACACACUAUAUACCAGAUUUAGUCAGAUGUGUUCCACCCUUGCAAGAGACUUCAUUUUUAGAACCGAGAGAAAUCACACUUCCUGUGGCCAAAGAUAAGUUGAGUCAGCAGGUACUGGAUUUAUUUCAAGAAUGUCAGCAGCAAGCGUGCGAUCUGAAGAAGAAAGAACUCUGCCGAACAGAACUACAGCGAGAAAUUCAGCGGAUUUAUCCACAGAGCAGACUCUUUCUGGUCGGCUCCUCACUAAAUGGAUUUGGAACCCGCAGCAGUGAUGGCGAUCUGUGCCUCGUUGUCACCGAGGAACCAGUAAAUCAGAAGACAGAAGCAAGAUAUAUUCUCAGCUUAGUCCAAAACCACUUCUCUACUAGACUUUCAAGCUACAUUGAGAGACCUCAGCUAAUUCGAGCAAAAGUGCCAAUAGUGAAGUUCAGGGAUAAAGUCAGCUGUGUGGAAUUUGACUUGAAUGUAAACAAUGUUGUAGGAAUAAGAAAUACAUUCCUUCUCAGAACCUAUGCAUACCUGGAGAAUCGAGUUCGUCCCCUAGUACUGGUGGUUAAGAAGUGGGCGAGUCACCAUGACAUCAACGAUGCCAGUCGGGGUACUUUAAACAGCUACAGUCUUGUAUUGAUGGUUUUGCACUAUUUACAAACCCUACCUGAACCCGUCCUUCCAUCCCUCCAAAAAAAAUACCCAAAUUCCUUCAGUCCGUCUAUGCAGCUGCACCUUGUACACCAAGCUUCGUGCACCAUCCCUCCUUACCUCUCAAAGAACGGAGCAACCCUCGGAGACCUCUUACUGGGCUUCCUGAAAUAUUAUGCCACCGAGUUUGACUGGAACAGCCAAAUGAUUUCAGUUCGUGAAGCCAAAGCCAUUCCAAGACCUAACGGGAUUGAAUGGAGAAACAAGUUCAUCUGUGUAGAAGGGACAUUAUAAGGGCCACAUGAGAUAAAUAAUGCCAAAAGUGCCAAAGGAAUUAAGAAUAUUCAGUGCUGUGUGUAGAUUUUAAGAACCUUUUGAUGGAACGAAUACAGCCAGAGCUGUGCAUGAAAAGCAGAAGUUUGACAUGAUUAAAGAUGAAUUUCUCAAGUCGUGGCACAGAUUGCAUAACGUGAGAGACUUGAACAGCAUCUUACCCUUAAGAGCGACCAUACAGAAGAGAUAACUGGCUUCUCCUCCCUUCUGACAAAUAAAGGACAAUAAUUACCACCAUCGCCGUGCAUUUUAUUUCCCUCAGUUAGUUUCUUUUUAAUGAAAUGCUUUGUUCAAGUUUUGUUAAAAGUGAAAUAAUUGUAUGACAGAUCACAUUUUGUUGCUAUAACAUUCGCUAAUACCACCCCGUUUCAAAAGCGCGUCUUUUUGACGAUGUUCAUAUCACUGACUUGUUGAAGGAGGGAUAAGUAGGCAUGAGGUCAGAGAUGUUUCAGAAGAUUACCAGAGUAAACGGAAGGAUAUCUGCAUUAUGAAAAAUACAACCGUACUGUCAGAUGUUUAUUUAACACUGAAGAAAUGGAGCUCUGAUCCUGCAUUCUCACCAGUGGCGGACGUGUGUUUCAUCUUCCGGGGCAGCCCGAGGAAAGAGAGGUGGAGGACUGGGAGGAAGACCCAGAAAAUUCGGGCCAACGGAAAUCUAGCGUAGCUUUUCCUGGCCUAGGUUUCCCGGAUGGCUUUCUCCCACCUCCAUUCUGUUCGUGUCUCUGCCCCAGGGGUGUCAGUAGCUUCGUGCUUUCGCUCUACUACUGAAGUUUUUUGUUCUUUUUUUUUUUAAUUUUCACGCAUCGAAACGAAGGCAGGUUUUACCCUGACGCGUGUGCAAGCGGGUGUACGAGAUGGGUCGAUCUUUCAGCGGGAUCUGCUUGGCGUGGGCCUGGCCCCCGGAUAACGUCACCUGUGCUGGGCUUAAUCCGGGGGCGUUUUUCCUUUACUUGGUUUACUGCGAGAUCUUUCUCCCCUGUAGCCAAGGUGAGAUUACACCCUAAAAUAUCGGCUGUCUUCUGACUUCCAAAAUACGGGAAUCAUCAUCGUUUAGAUUGGAUUCUUUUUCUUUUUUUUUUUCCUUUUUUUUAGGUAGCAAGAUAUACCACCCACUUUUAAAUAACCCAGUGUAAAUCCCGUGUAUGUAAGGCUAAAUGAUUAGAUCAUGUAACAUUUUAAAAAAUAUUUUCUUUCCAUAUGAAGAAAGUAGUUAGUGGCUGCUCAGAUAGCUGCUAAAAUAAACCAAGUUGGUUUCAUUUUGUGUAAAUAUUGUAAAUUGGUCAGCUACUGUAAAUCGAAAUAUAAAAAAAAAACUUGAAAAAUUUUAACUUUUCCAAAAAAAAAAAGGACUGUGUGAACCUUCUUUUAGACCUGCUGUAGCGCAGUUUGUGCCUCUAACGUAUUUAUCGCAGACCGAUUCAUGUUCAGAUCAUUGCAGUUUAUUGAUUUCAGAAAGGUGCAUAUUUUCAUUUUUCUCCUAAAUUUAUUUUGUAUGGUGUCGAGAGGAAUAAAGUUUAUGUAUGGAAAAUA